rnacentral:lncRNA from 1 species
AUCCCUUCGAGUGGAUCAAUGAGUGUCUAUACAUCAUUGAUCAUCAUAAACUCCAUUUUAGACUCUAUGACUCCAAGCCAUUAAUCAGAGUUGAACCUCUGCAUGAUAUUCAUGUAGGUGAUCAGAUCCUUAUUAUUCUUAUCGAGUUUAAUAGGAUCACAUCCCAGAUCUAGAAACUGAAGUCUCUAUCCAACGGAUGCGGUACUCUACCAGAUCUCCUUAAUGGUGCCUCUUCAACGAGUUUCGAAUAUGAU